GAUGAACGCUGGCGGCGUGCCUAAUACAUGCAAGUCGAGCGAACAGACGAGGAGCUUGCUCCUCUGACGUUAGCGGCGGACGGGUGAGUAACACGUGGAUAACCUACCUAUAAGACUGGGAUAACUUCGGGAAACCGGAGCUAAUACCGGAUAAUAUAUUGAACCGCAUGGUUCAAUAGUGAAAGACGGUUUUGCUGUCACUUAUAGAUGGAUCCGCGCCGCAUUAGCUAGUUGGUAAGGUAACGGCUUACCAAGGCAACGAUGCGUAGCCGACCUGAGAGGGUGAUCGGCCACACUGGAGCUGAGACACGGUCCAGACUCCGACGGGAGGCAGCAGUAGGGAAUCUUCCGCAAUGGGCGAAAGCCUGACGGAGCAACGCCGCGUGAGUGAUGAAGGUCUUCGGAUCGUAAAACUCUGUUAUUAGGGAAGAACAAAUGUGUAAGUAACUAUGCACGUCUUGACGGUACCUAAUCAGAAAGCCACGGCGAACUACGU
rnacentral:rRNA from 1 species